GCUUGUCUCAAAGAUUAAGCCAUGCAUGUCUAAGUAUAACUCUUUUACUUUGAAAACUGCGAACGGCUCAUUAUAUCAGUUAUAGUUUCUUUGAUAGUCCCUUACUACUUGGAUACCCGUAGUAAUUCUAGAGCUAAUACAUGCAUCAAUACCCAACUGUUCGCGGAAGGGUAGUAUUUAUUAGGUAUAGACCAACCCUCCUCGGAGGUGCUUUGGUGAUUCAUAAUAACUUCACGGAUCGCACGGCCUUGCGCCGGCGAUGGUUCAUUCAAAUUUCUUCCCUAUCAACUUUCGAUGUUUGGGUCUUGGCCAAACAUGGUUGCAACGGGUAACGGAGGGUUAGGGCUCGACCCCGGAGAAGGAGCCUGAGAAACGGCUACUACAUCCAAGGAAGGCAGCAGG
rnacentral:rRNA from 1 species